AUUGAACGCUGGCGGCAUGCCUUACACAUGCAAGUCGAACGGCAGCACGGGAGCAAUCCUGGUGGCGAGUGGCGAACGGGUGAGUAACAUAUCGGAACGUGCCCAGUAAUGGGGGAUAGCCCGGCGAAAGCCGGAUUAAUACCGCAUACGACCUACGGGUGAAAGCGGGGGAUCGCAAGACCUCGCGUUAUUGGAGCGGCCGAUAUCAGAUUAGCUAGUUGGUGGGUAAAGCCUACCAAGGCGACGAUCUGUAGCUGGUCUGAGAGGACGACCAGCCACACUGGGACUGAGACACGGCCCAGACUCCUACGGGAGGCAGCAGUGGGGAAUUUUGGACAAUGGGCGCAAGCCUGAUCCAGCCAUGCCGCGUGUGGGAAGAAGGCCU
rnacentral:rRNA from 1 species